GACUGAGAGCCCUGGCCUAGACCCUCAGCACACCCUCACAUCAUCAUUUCUCAUGAGAAAGAUGAAAUGAGAUGGCACUUGAAGGCGCGCCAGUAACACCGCUAACCAGAGAGAGGUGGCCACGCAGGAGGAGAAAUAGCAUGGAUGUUCUGGGAUCACUGAGGACCUAUUAACUGACCAGUUUUGGACAGAAGCUGAAGCAUUAACAGGACUAGCCCUGUUGACACUGGAAUUCCCGUUAGGACUCGACAUGGAACUGCUUGGCGUGUCUUUCAAUGGUCCAGUCCCAUUUAAGUGAGGUGGAUUCUGGAAGUAAGCAGAGCGCACCUGGUCAGAGCUCCAGAAACAUGGUCACACAAACAGAACCCAUUUUGGCUGAUGGGUCCUUCCCAUUUUGCUUUUUUUUUUUCCAGGACUAACAAGUUUCAUACACCUGGAAAUGUUCUCUGUUUUUCUCAAUCCCUCCUACCCGCGCAUACUUUCCACAGGCCCUAGUUUUCUGGCAAUAAAUCAACAAACAGGACAUACAUGUUUCACAGAAAACAAUCCUCAGACCAAACUCGUUCUGUCCCAGAUCUGAUGGAAAUCAGCAGGACCUGUGGCAUGGAGUCACACACUUGCUAACUGGUUGGGUUUCCUGGGAGCUCGCCGCUGCAGAGUGCCAGGAAGGAGGAAUCACCCUGGCCUCGGAGCAGAGGAGACGGUCACGUGGGCGGAGAGUAGGGGCUGCUUCAGCCGCCACUCACUCAGCCAUGACCCCACCACUGCCCCACAACGUCUCCACAUUCUCCUCACGCAGUGAGACUCGCUGCAGGUUCCCCCAUGGCUGCUGCACCCCCGUGGAGGCGCAGGCGUGAAAGUCAGUUAACAGAUCACGUGUGGCCUUCCCAGCGCCUCCUCACAUACCUGAAUUAGCUGCCGUCCUAACACUGGAAAGCUUCAUGGUAAAAACAAAAACAGUCUUUGGAAAAGCAAUGCCAACCACCCCUUCCUACAGGGCACAUGCCCUCCUGUUUGCCAGAGUCCUGAUGUCACUCUGGAGCAGAGCCCAAUAGGGGAGCCUGCUGGGCAUUUGAUGUGUGACUCUGUUAUACCUCAAAUACUGCCUGAUGUCCAUAAAAUAAAGCAUGCAGCUAGAC